rnacentral:rRNA from 1 species
UACAGAGGGGGCAAGCGUUGUUCGGAAUUACUGGGCGUAAAGGGCGCGUAGGCGGCCUGUUAAGUCGAACGUGAAAUCCCCCGGGCUCAACCCGGGAACUGCGUCCGAUACUGGCGGGCUUGAAUCCGGGAGAGGGAUGCGGAAUUCCAGGUGUAGCGGUGAAAUGCGUAGAUAUCUGGAGGAACACCGGUGGCGAAGGCGGCAUCCUGGACCGGCAUUGACGCUGAGGCGCGAAAGCCAGGGGAGCAAAACGGGG